rnacentral:lncRNA from 1 species
GUGGCUGGGGAGGUCGUCCCAGAUGCUGUCCCAAGGUGAGCCCUGGGUGAUGCCCUCUGACGCCUGCUGGGGUGAAGGGGGACCCUCAGGAAAACCAGAGAUGCGGGCAGCAGCAUCUUCUCACAGCCCCAGGCCUGAGCACUGGUGGACACCCUCUCUCCACAGAGUUCUCCUGGGUUCGUUCAGACCUCCUGGCCGUUUUGGGCACCAUUCCCAACCUUGUCUGAACAGAGCUGUUUGAUUAGAGAAAGUGACACCAUCAGCCUAAGGCCUUUUCCUGGCUCCUUUGGCUCCUCGGUCCCAGGCUAUUAUGGUCCCAUCUUGCCAUCCACACCCUUGUGCACACACACACACACACACAAACAGACACAAAUAGCUUCAUGAAACAUUUGGUAUGGGUGAGGGAACUUUCUAGAAGAUCUAUCCUCAUGGAGCAGAAGUACCAAUACUGAGUAACCUGAAAGUCAACAGCCCUUCUCUUAGGCCAGCAGGCGUUAGACAUUACCCAGAAAUGUUCUUUGUGAGUGGCCUUGUGCUGCCAUGGCACAGCAGGGUGACGUCCUUGGAUCCAGCAGCUGUCUUUGGACCACAGCAAGGGCUGCUCCUGUCUGUUUAUCCUGCUCCCACGUCUCACCUCCACCUACCCCAGGCUGUUUGUCCCAGUCAAGACACAGAGACUUGGGUUUAAAAUCGUCUUUCCCUUUCUUAAAUGUAGAAAACUCCCCAAUAGUUGAAUGUUUUGUUCUUUGGGAAUUCACCCUGAGUUUCAGCCCGUGAGAACUCAGGCUGGAGUCACCAGGACCCGAAAGCCCGACUCUGCCACUUACUGGCUGUGUAGCCAAGGCAAGUUAUUUGAAGUGCUGUGAGCUUACUUCUCAAUCUGUAAAAUGAGACUAAAGUAGGUUCAUAAAAGCCACCUCGAAGAGAAGGGGGGAGGAGUCAAUGAGAUAAUAUUUACAGACACCUGACCGGGAGCUCUUCGCGGGUCCUCAGCAGCUUGAUGUGCUCUCCGUUGCUACCCAUUCCUUCUUGGUUUGUGUUCCCCUUCUUACUCCACAUCAGAAACUUCAUAGCUUCUUAUUAAGAUCAGCAUCCCGCUCAGCGGUUACUGCAUGACUACUUCCCCUGUCAUAACUGCACAUAUUGAGGACCAGCUGGUCAGUGCACAAUGGUCCUUUGUGUCCUAACACAUUCUUAAGAGCCAGGUAUCACUGUUAUACCCAUUUUACAGGUAAGCUGGCUGAGGUCAAAGGAUUUGCCCAAGAAUUCAUGUGUGGUGAGUGGUAGAGCCAGGAUUUGGACCGAGGCACUUUUAAUUUCUUUGCUAGACCUGUGUUAACUGUUGAACAGACUGCAGGUACCGCUGUUAGGGACUUUUGGUGAACUUAACACAGUUAGGGUUAGCCCCUGGUUUUCCAGCGUCUUGUUUUCAAUCAGCCACAUCGAACUGAUCAUUUGGUAAUGAGACCCACCAUUGAUUCAGCACCUACCUAAUUUAUG